ensembl:lncRNA LINC01370 long intergenic non-protein coding RNA 1370
AUCAUUUAGCUCGCACUUAUAAAUGACAACAUGCAGUAUUUGGUUUUCUGUUCCUGCGUUAGUUUGCUAAGGAUAAUGGCCAUUAUCUUAGCCAUUUGAAAAUAAUGAUUUAACCUCUCUCACCUUCAUUGUCAUUUUAGAAGAAACUACCAUUUGGUGUCCUGCUGAGACAAGAAAAUAUUUUCACAACUCAAGACAAGUUAAAUAUCCACUUAUGGGAACAGUGCUGAAGGCCUGGACUAGGAUGGUAGCAAUGGAGACAGACUAAAGGUCAGCAUAACAGUCAACAUUAAGGGGGUUGAAUCAACAGCACAUAGUACCUGAUUGGAAAUACAGAGUAAAUUACAGUGAGAAGUGAGUUGCUGUCCAGAUUUCUAUCUUGGAUAUGUAGACAGAUGAUGGUCAGCAAGCAAGAAAACAGGCAGAACAAUUUUAGAAACUAAGAAAAUGUAUUUCCAAUGGAACUAAUUAAAUCAGAGUCUGUAAAUAGCAUUGUAAGAUAUAGGAGGCUGAUAUGGUUUGGAUUUGUGUCCCUGCCUAAAUCUCAUGUCAAAUUAUAUCUCCAAUGUUGGAGAAGAGGCCUAGUGGGGGGUAAUUGGAUCAUGGAGCUGGAUUUUCCCUUUGCUGUUCUCAUGACAGUGGGUUCUCAUGAGAUCUGGUUGUUUAAAAGUGUGUAGCACCUCCCCCUUCUGUCUUUUCCUCCUGCUCUGACCAUGCAAGAUGUGACUGCUUCUCCUUUCACCAUGAUUGAAAGUUUCCUGAGGCGCCCCCAGCCAUGCUUUCUGUACAGCCCAUGGAACUGUCAGCCAAUUAAACCUCUUUUUAAAAUAAAUUACCCUGUUUCAGAUAUUUAUCAGUGCAUGAACGGACUAAUACAGAGGCAGAAGCACAUCUGCAGGCAGAAAUGGGGAAAAAAAUAAUAUCAGAAGAAAGGAUAAGAGGAAGAGCUUAAGAAUAAGUAUGUGCAAAUUUUAGUUGAUGCUGGACUGGGGAGAGGUGCUAAUGGAUUCAGAUCCUGGGGGAAUCUGGACAAGGAUAUGGUCCAGAGAUCAAUGGGAGGAGAAGAAAAUUAAUAAACUUGACUUAAGGACUAGCCUCUAAGUUGAGAAAUGUAAUGUUUAUGCUAAUAUUUUUACAGAAAAAGGUGUUAUCAUUCUCAGUUUUGCAACCUGAUUCAGAGAAGCUAAGCCAUAGACCCCAAGCCACAUGGACUACAUGGUGGCAUCUAUUUAAAUUCAUAUUUAUUUGUUCUUAGCACUUUUGUUGUGGUCGCUAUGCUACCUCUAAGUAGGACUUUGACUUCCUACAAAAUUCACUGUUACACAUCCAGGUAGAUGUGAAUACAUGCUGCAGUAAUGUCUGUCACCCAUAGUCACUGCAGGGGAAGUUGGCAUCACAGCACUGACGAUAUGCCUACUAUCUUUAGGUUAAAGUGGAUACGUUAUCAUUACCCUAUGCAAAAGAAUCUGAUCAUUGCCCUGAAGAUAAUUUUGUUAUCUCACAUUGCAUAUGUGAUCAUUACCCUGAGGGCAGAGAUGCAAUCAUUGGCCUAUAGGAAUACUUAUCAUUAUGGCUUGGCAAGUGGAAAAGUGAUAAUUAACUUGCACGAAUAGAUGGGAUCAUUGCACUACAGAUAGAUCUGUUAUUGCAUUUCCUGAAGAAAUGCAAUCUCUAGUGUGCAAAAGACAAUGUGUUAUCUACAUUUAUGGUAGAGAUAUGCUCCUUAUAUUGCCCAUAAUGAUGAUAUCAAUUGCAUUUCAGGUGGAAAUUAGGAUUGUUGCAUUGCUGAUAACCUUGUUAUAAUUACGUUACAGAAAGAGAUGCAAUCAUUCCCUUGCAUAUGGUCCGUAUGAAGACGGGAUCAUUACAGGAAAGGUGAAGGAGAUACAGUCAUUAUGCUCUAUAUACACCCAUUUUUAUGGCUAGCGGCUGAAGAUGGGAUGCUUUCUUUGCUGGAAGACCUAUUACCUGUUAGGUUGCAAAAGAUGUGAUCAUCUUCCUAAACAAUAAUUUAGAGUCCCAUAACAAUUUUAAGUGUGCUGUUCAUGAAAAUUUGAAUACAUUGUAUUGGGAAUAUAAUGGAAGUGAGAUGCCUCAUGUCGUGAGAAAAUCUGACAUAAACUCCUUAAGCAUGAGAGGCCAUGUGGGUAUGGAAGCCCUGAAAGGGAGGAAAAAACAGCCAGACCCUAGCUGUUCCAGUCAUCCCAACUGAGGUGCCAGACUUGUGAUUGAGGCCAUCUUGCAUCAUCUAGGCCUAGUAGAGCUGCCAACUGACUGCAGACACAUGAGUCAAUCCAGCUAAUGCCACAUGGAGCAGAGACAAGCCGCCCAGCUGAGCCCAGUCCAGAUGACAGAAUCAUGAGCAAAUAAGGUUGUUGUUCUUUUAAGCCACUAAAUUUUCGGGUGAUUUGUUACACAGUAAUAAAUAACUGAAACAACUA